rnacentral:rRNA from 1 species
AGAUUGAACGCUGGCGGCGUGCUUAACACAUGCAAGUCGAGCGGUAACAGGCGUAGCAAUACGUGCUGACGAGCGGCGAACGGGUGCGUAAUACAUGGGAAUCUGCCUUUUAGUGGGGGAAUAACCCGGCGAAAGCCGGGCUAAUGCCGCAUAAGAUCUUCGGAUGAAAGCGGGGGAUCGUAAGACCUCGCGCUGAUAGAUGAGCCCAUGCCGGAUUAGCUAGUUGGUGAGGUAACGGCUCACCAAGGCGACGAUCCGUAGCUGGUCUGAGAGGACGGCCAGCCACACUGGGACUGAGACACGGCCCAGACUCCUACGGGAGGCAGCAGUGGGGAAUAUUGGACAAUGGGGGAAACCCUGAUCCAGCGACGCCGCGUGUGUGAAGAAGGCCUGCGGGUUGUAAAGCACUUUCGGUGGAACGAAAUAUGCCGGGCUAAUAUCCCGGUAGGCUGACGUUACUCAAUGAAGAAGCACCGGCUAACUCUGUGUCAGCACG